ACGAAGUUCUUCCUGUUUGCGUGCUUGCUUCUUCCUCAGACUACCUGCAAUUUCGCUUUAUAUAUUGUUUUAUGAAUAUAUUUGUAUAUUGUUUUACUAAUAAUUAGGUCCAGGAGGCUCUGAAAGAGCCAAAAGGAGAUUUUGGGUGCAGGAAGUGGCACGUAUAGCGGACCAGCAGGUGGUGCUGCUCAGGAACCCGGCUUGGCCAUUUCGAAGAAACCCUUGAGCACCUAGCUGGCUUUCGGUGUGAAGAGCCCUUGGCAAAAGUACUCUUCUCGUUUGGCCUCUUUCCAAAAAAAAAAAAAAAAACAAAAAACAGUGCUUUCAGACGUCCCAAUUCACCCUCGGAAUGUUGAGCAAUUUAAUUUUAAAAAAAGUACCCAUUUUUCUCCACAGAAAAGAGCGUAGGAAGCUGGAGAAGGAGAUUAAUUAGCAUACCAAAACCAAACCCACUGCCCUCAAGUCAAUUCUGACUCACAGCGACCCUAUAGGGUUUCCAAGGCUGUAACCUUUACGGAAGUCGACUGCCACGACUUUCUCCAGAGGAGCGACUGGGAUUCCAAAACCACAAAUCCAGUUGACCUCAAGGAGACCUGGACUGUGGAGGAGCAGAAACCUUCAAAAAAGGAAGUCCCAUCUCCUGGAUCCACGUGUUGAAACUCCAUGUCCCUUUGACACCAAUGGGGUACAUGUUUACAGACAUAUAACCCAACGGGUAGCAGAGGCUGAACCACAUAUUGCUGACAUAGAUUGGAGUCCUGUUCCAGGUAAUCACAACCCUUCACAGUUUUGUAAAGCAC